GUGAGCGUAGCUCAACGGUAGAGCAUCGGACUGUGGAUCCGAGUGCUGAGGGUUCGAAUCCCUUCGCUCACCCA
rnacentral:tRNA from 1 species